UCUGCCGCUCCUCAUCUUCGGUCUCUGGGUUUCCUUUUUUCUGCCCCUGAGGUUCCGCGUGUUUAUAAAGCACAGAGGUUGCGUCACGGAGACGCACCUCAGCUCCUCUAUAAAAGGGCUGAGACUCUCUUUCCUCCUUACGCAUCUGCUGUCUCCUGAUCCGGUAAGGUUUUCUUCUGAUUGCCCAUUAGAUCUGGUCCCGCUCCGAUCUUCUAGAGAUUGGAGGCGGUCUUCAUUCUCUCUGAACGGAAGAGUGCAGAAAAUAGGGCUCUUCUGCUUCCGAGUCUUCUCUCUUGUGGCGAUUUAGAGGUUGCGUCACGGAGACGCAGCUCAGCUCCUCUAUAAAAGCGCUGAGACUCUCUUUCCUCCUUCCGCCUCUGCCGUCUCCUGAUCCGGUAAGGUUUUCUUUUUGAUUGCCCAUUAGAUCUGGUCCCGCUCCGAUCUUCUAGAGAUUGGAGGCGGUCUUCAUUCUCUCUGAACAGAAGAGUGCAGAAAACAGGGCUCUUCUACUUCUGAGUCUUCUCUUUUGCGGCGAUUUAGAGGUUGCGUCGCGGAGAGGCAGCUCAGCUCCUCUAUAAAAGCGCUGAGACUCUCUUUCCCCUUCCGCCUCUUCUGUCUCCUGAUCCGGUAAGGUUUUCUUUCGAUUGCCCAUUAGAUCUGGUCCCGCUCCGAUCUUCUAGAGAUUGGAGGCGGUCUUCGUUCUCUCUGAAGGGAAGAGUGCAGAAAAUGGGGCUCUUCUACUUCCGAGUCUUCUCUCUUGCGGCGAUUUAGAGGUUGCGUCACGGAGACGCAGCUCAGCUCCUCUAUAAAAGCGCUGAGACUCUCUUUCCUCCUUCCGCCUCUGCCGUAUCCUGAUCCGGUAAGGUUUUCUUUUUGAUUGCCCAUCAGAUCUGGUCCCGCUCCGAUCUUCUAGAGAUUGGAGGCGGUCUUCAUUCUCUCUGAACGGAAGAGUGCAGAAAAUAGGGCUCUUCUACUUCCGAGUCUUCUCUCUUGCGGCGAUUUAGAGGUUGCGUCACGGAGACGCAGCUCAGCUCCUCUAUAAAAGCGCUGAGACUCUCUUUCCUCCUUCCGCCUCUGCCGUCUCCUGAUCCGGCCGAAAAUGCUAAAUUACCCUCAGCCUGCUGUGUAAUUGUCUCAGUAUUACUCUUUUGGGCUCUUACAAAGCAAUGGAUCCAAAUGUUGCACGAGCUGUUGAGUAAUUUCCAACUGGUUUUGGUGAUUUGCUUUUAUUAGUUGAGAUAAAAAAAAAUAAAACGAAUUAUUAAUUUGGUUUCGGCAUUAUAAAAAAAAAAAAUUGUAUUUGAAAAAUAUUUAUGUAGUUAGACGAGCAAAGAAGAAAAAUGUUUUUGAUGAUAGUUAAAUUCAAAAUUUAAAAUAAAAAAUCACACUCAAUACAUCUUGGUGCUGGAUUCAAAUAUUUUCUUUCGAAAAAAGAAACUUACGUACGUGUAUUAAUAUCGGUGCCUGUGCGCAUUUUCAAAAUUUUCACGAGUCUGCUGGAUUCAAAUAAUGUAUCGUUCUUGUUUCUCUCACGCUUUUUGGUUGUAUUUGAGCAAUAAUUUGUCAGAGGCAGCAAGCCAGAUCUGGAAAUAUGGCAAGUUUUUAGAAAUUGGUGCUGCGCGUUUAAUCAUCUUUAACCAACAAGACCUUAUGCUGGUUUUCAGUUCUGUUGCAGUCAAGAGAAAGGUUUCCAGGAUAUGCUUGAGAUGCUUGCCUCGUACAAGGAGGGGGUGUGUACCAUGUGGGAACCGUGUUCCCAUAAUCUUGAUUCUGUCCGGUUCCAUCCAAAGUGCAUAAAGAAACCUAGUUCCCACGCUGGAAACUGAUAACAGUGCUCGGUUAUGGAUUGCUGGUUCAAGAGGUUUGCAAUAUCUAUUUUCACUCGUAUCACUUGGUGCUGGAUUCAUAUGUUUUUCUUCUGUAAUAAAAAGUUACGUAUGUGUAUUAAUACUGGUACCGAGGGGGCACUGCGCACUUACAAAAUUUUUACAAGUCCGCUGGAUUAAAAUAAUGUGACGUGCUUUGUUCCUCUCGGCGCUCUUUGCUUGUAUUUGAGCAAUCAUUUGUUAGAAGCAGCAGGCCAGAUCUGAAAAUAUGGCAAGUUUUUAGAAAUUGAUGCUGCGCCUUUUAGUUGCCAACACGUUCUUAUGUUGGUUUUCAGGGACCAUAUUCUGACAAUAUUAUAACGCUCGCUCGGUAAGGGUGUGGAUUGCUGGUUCGAGAGGUACGCGACAUCUCUAUUUACACUCGUAUCACUUGGUGCUGGAUUCAAAUAUUUCUCUUUGGAAGUAAAAGUUACGUAUUUGUUUAAUGUUGGUACCAAAGGGGUACUGCUGCGCAUUACAAAAAUUUCUACAAGUCUGCUAGAUUCAAAUAAUAUUUCUCUCACGCUUUUUGGUUGUAUUUGAGCAAUAAUUUGUCAGAGGCGGCAGGCCAGCCAGAUCGGGAAAUAUGGCAACUUUUUAGAAAUUGAUGCUGCGCGUUUACUUUACCAACAAGUUCUUAUGUUGGUUUUCAGGUAAUUCUCUUCCGCCCCGCUCCCUUUUAAUCAUCUUUAAUAUCUCAGCAUGGAAGUCCUCAGCUUCCUUGCCCCCCGGGCCCCACUUCUUUUAGUCUGCUCUUAAAGCUGGAGGUCAUUUUUUUUUGACGUUUGUUGUAGUCAAGAGAAAGGUUUCUAGGAUGCAUGAGAUGCUUGCCUCGUACUAGGGUGUCUUUUAUGUGGGAACCAUGUUCCCGUAAUCUUGGUUCUGUCUAUGGUUCGUAGUCCCAUAUGAACGAGGAUGCUGUGUUCUCGGGAUUUUUAUCUGAUGCGAGAAAGGUCGUCAUUCUUUAUUUCGAAGCCACAUUAGAUUGAUUUUGUGUCCCGGUGUCCCCACAGGGAAAUUGUAGCAGUUGGAAAAGUAAGUGGAGGUCAAGUAAUUUUUUUAGAAACUGAAGGCGUGUUCUAUCGAUUAUUUUGAAAGAUAAGUGUGCCUUGGUGCAAAAGAAAAUGACUUUGGAUUUGCUGCAGCAAAGCAAAACUUUUUUGAUGCCCUGGGUUUUCGGAACUCUAAAAGUUGUGGUUUGGACUCUUGAUUCAAAGUACGUAGCGGGAAACUUGUUUAAGCGGAAAGAACGGAGUUUGUUCCAGUGGCUAUCUACACGAACAACGUGUGCUACGCGGAAUCAAAUUGGAGCGAGGGUGAAGCCUUCCUAAGUGUAGAGCUACAGAUUGAAGAGACGUGUUAUUGAAAGGAACAAAUGAGGUUUCUUCCCGUUGCUGGUUAUGCAGGCGACGAGUGCGGCUGCGUGGCUUCUGAGUGUGAUUUUACUCCGUGUACAUCAUCAGGAAUGGAGUUUUUACUCUUACCGAGUUUUAUUUUAUAGGGUUGUCGUCCCGUAUUUGUAUCUGCAAUUUGUGUAGUGUUGGAACGGAAGUUUAUGGCUUGAACUUCCAUUUUGGUGGAUUUUCGUCUUGGGAAAUAAGUCAUUUAGCGUGGUCCAAUUCCAGUGGAGUUCAUGGCAACCACGUUGGCUCUUAAUAAGCGGACUGAUCCAGUGAAUAUCCUGCAAAUUUUGUGCAUGACUAGGGAUCUUUUGUUGAUAAAUAGAUCUCGGGGCGGUUGGGCGGCCGUUCAUCAAAACUAAUUUUACCAAACUAGUAGAAUUCUUGUCGUAGUUUAGAUUAUUGGAAUUUUUUUUCCGUUUUUGAUGUUUUAUUUUUGUCUGUUGUCCUUCAUUGCGUGUUAAGCAUUUGUCCUUUAUAUUACUCUACUCGAUUUUAGCUUUUUCAUUUGAUAAUUUUGUUCGCAUGAUCUGAUGCUGGAAUCAGGUUUCAGGUGUUCUGCAUGUCACGUCUGAUUUGUUAAUAUUUUUCAUCUCAUUAGGUAAUUAUCAUAUCGGCAUUGGUAGGUGAUAUUACUCUGCUCAAUUUUAAAUUUUAUUAUUUUGAUAAUUUCGUUCACAUGUGCUGAUGUUACAAUCACGUUUCAGGUUUUCCGCUUGCUAGCCAUUUUGUCAUAAUUUGGUCCCAUGACCUGUUAUAUAAAUUCUGAUUUAUCCUUUCAAAUGGUGCUUUUUCUCACAGCUAAAAUCCUCUCAAAGAUGAGUUCCCGUUUAAUAAUCCAUUGGUCAAGGUCGGUAAGAGAAAUUCAACCGUAGAGAUGUGUGGAGAAGUGUAUCGCAUAGCUCCAGUUACUCUUACUCAACAGCAGCAAGCUUUCCAUCAGAAAAGGAGAUCUAGAGCAUACCAGGGGAAGGGACCAACUGUGUUCCUUAAGGACGCGGAUUCCAUACCUCCUGAUGUAGACCCCAAUACAACCAGAUGGAUUCCAGCCAAUCAUUUUUUUGCAACCACUGCAGCUGACAUUGAUUAGACCUGGCACAAAACAAUAUGUAUCAGGAGCAUGGUGUUCCAUUUCGUAUUCAGGCUGAGCAUGAGGCAGUAGAGAGGAAGCUUGAAGCGGCUUGAAUGGCAUGCAUGCUGCAGCUUGUCUAGCGCCAACAACAAAGAACUCUGUAAUGACUUCGAGAGGCAUGCCUUUGGUUUCUGGGACUUUCAGGAACACAAAGAUCCAAGAGAUGAAGCACACAAUCGAAUAUAUGCUGAAGACGCUUGCUAAGCGUUUUGAAUUGAUCAUUACAGGCAGAGCGUAUGUCACAAUAAUGUUGCCGACCCAAAAAACCGUGGCACAGAUAGUAAUGCAAAUGCCACACCCUUGUAGGGAAGAUCACAGUGCAGAGGAUAUUUGGAAUUGGCCCAUAUGCCAUGACGAGGCCGCAGAUGUGUGAUACACAAGCUGAUGGCGUUGCUGCAUUUAUAACUGUGCUCAACUUCACUAGUGGGCCAAUAACUAGAAUGAUUAGUGACACUAUUAGUGCAGGAAUUGUCGCAAGUAGCAGCCGCCUGGCAAUGAAGGAUGUGUGAGUUAAAGAGAAAGUAAAAUAUUAUGAGCAAAUGCAUCUUGGGAGACACUGUAUAUGCUAUAUUUAUCUGUUGCUAUUGGGGAAACCAAGGCUCUUGGUCCACCUGAUGGCCACAAGCCUCUGAGAUUUUUUUAGUGAUUUGAUCAAUUAAGAGCUAUUUUGCUUUUGCAUGCAGAUUUUCAAGUACGGGAAUGCAGGAAACUCCAAGAACAAAAAUAGAUAAGCAUAAAAGAAAAAUAGGGGUUGGAGUUUGCUUCUUUUGCUAGUAAAUCAUGGUACCAAUAGAAAAGGCAGCUGUCAAUGCUAAAAUGUGUAAUCUUGCCACUAUUAUUCAUCACAAAUUCUAUUCGCAUGUCUAGAAAAUUUUUUUGGUCAGAUCGAUGCACAUUUCUAAUAAACAUGUCCUGGAUUUUGUUAUGUUUUCCUUUUUCUUAAGCUUUGUUGCAGCUGUCAUGGCAAUUAUUCGGGACCAUUAACUAGUAAUUCAGGGGAUUGUUUAAAAGAGUGAAGCUCGGAAAAUGCAGCCGACCCCUCAUCUCUUAUCCUUAUUAUAUAACAGAAGCUGAUGACUUCGUCGCCUAAUUCUAGGGGCGGAGGGGGACAGAAGAGGGUUUUAUCUCUGCUAUGCUGGUACCUGGGGUGUGGAAGGAGGGAGCCCAGGGGAAUAAAUUUGCUGGGAUAUACACACGUCAUGCAGAAAAUCAGCACUUUGUUUGGGUGCAGCAGUGAUGGACCUGGGUGCUCUACGCAAGCCCACCAGCACACUCACCAGUGAGCGCGUACAUAAUGCAUUGUGCCCCCGUGCAUUUGCCCCGUCGCUGUUUCAAGCCAUUAUGCCUCAGAUGACAUCAAAAAAGAUUCCUGUGACCUGUCAUAUGAAUGAUAAAGGGCAUAUGCUUGAAGCAGCACAAAAUGUAAGCAGCUUGAAUGACAUGCAUGGUAACAGAGUAAUUUUUCACUAUAAAAUGUUCCAAAUAACCAUAUAUUCUUCAGUGAAGUUGCAUCCUUACUGAACAACUUACAAUAAAUCCCGCAGAAUGUUGGAAGCCUCACCCAUAACGAACUAAUAACGAAAGCACUAGCAGGCUAGUCAGUUCGGGCAUAAACCUAAAUUUGAGUUCCUCUCCUCGCAUUAUCUCUUAUCAAAAGAUUAAACAUGUAGUUUCAGGUUCCUAAGAUACUUGCAAUUAUGGAAGUAGAAACCAUGUUGGUAAACCUAUGAUGUGUCCUUAACUUUUGAUUCUAAGGACCUGUUUUACCAGGAAGGAACUAAACA